GAUGAACGCUGGCGGCGUGCCUAAUACAUGCAAGUCGAGCGAACGGACGAGAAGCUUGCUUCUCUGAUGUUAGCGGCGGACGGGUGAGUAACACGUGGAUAACCUACCUAUAAGACUGGGAUAACUUCGGGAAACCGGAGCUAAUACCGGAUAAUAUUUUGCACCGCAUGGUUCAAAAGUGAAAGACGGUCUUGCUGUCACUUAUAGAUGGAUCCGCGCUGCAUUAGCUAGUUGGUAAGGUAACGGCUUACCAAGGCAACGAUGCAUAGCCGACCUGAGAGGGUGAUCGGCCGCACGGGAACUGAGACACGGACCAGGCUCCUACGGGAGGCAGCAGUAGGGAAUGUUCCGCAAUGGGCGAAAGCCUGGCGGAGCAACGCCGCGUGAGUGAUGAAGGUCUUCGGAUCGUAAAACUCUGUUAUUAGGGAAGAACAUAUGUGUAAGUAACUGUGCACUUCUUGACGGUACCUAAUCAGAAAGCCACGGCUAACUACGUG
rnacentral:rRNA from 1 species